rnacentral:lncRNA from 1 species
CCCCUCUCUGUCUCUCUCUGUCUCUGUCUCUGUCUCUGUCUCUGUCUCUCUCUCUCUCUCUCUCUCUCUCUCUCUCUCUCUGUCUCUCUCUCUGCAAAGAACCCCUCGCCCCUUGAAUCGUUUGGAAGACAAGAAUUACAUGCCCCACAGGGCCCUUAAAAUUAGGAAAUUCACCUGGAUGAUUUACGACCUACAGUCCAGGACCCCUUCAGUCCCUCAUUGCGGGGGUCAUAUUCUUCACAGCCAGAAUCUCCCGUUGGAAUGCAUUGUAUUUACUGCUCGUCCCCUUAGACUUCUCCGAUUUUUUUCGAACUCUGAACCUGGCCAUGAAGUUGAAAGGAAAUGGGUAUCCAGAUGACCCCUCAGUUAAAACAUAGAAAUCGUGCUCAGUUUGAGAAAUCCGGAACAAGAAGCUCAGUAGUGUGCUGGAACUUGGAGGCUUUAAUUAAUUUCCUUUGAUUUUCAUUUCAACUUUAAAUACAGUUCUACUUAGUCCAUGACCAGUGACCAAAUGGAAUACAUGCCAUGUACCUCACCCAGUUGCUAACUCGAUCAAAUGGAAUAAAGUCAAUCUGUUCCAUUUCAAAGAUGCCAUGUAAGAAAUUAAGAGUAUAGAGCUAGGUGUGAUGGUAUGAGCCUGUAAUCGCAGCACUCUGGGAGACUGAGGCAGGAGGACCAAAAGUUCAAGCGCUGCUACAGUGGACUUAAGAGAAUCAAGAUUCAGAAGUCCAACGAGGCAAACCCUCAAAUAGUUUUGGAGUCAUC